rnacentral:lncRNA from 1 species
GAAAACUUAGAAUAUUACUAUUAUCCUUGAUUUUAACCUACAAAUAUUUUGCCCCUGAAAAAAUAGCUAAAAGUGUGAACUGUUAUAUUACUACAGAUUCUUACAGUCUAGCCAUGCAAACAUAACUAACAAUAGAUGGUUCCCCACACCCCCAAAACUGUCAAAGGAAACAAUUACAAAGACUGUGAUUAAUACUGGUUUGGCCUCAUUAUACAAAUAUGUACAGACAGCGAGGCUGAUGUCCCCAGCACUCAUGAUGCAAUUAAUUACUCUGACAAGAGUUUGGCAAAGUUUUCAUCCACUGUCAGGAGCCAGUGAGUGAAGGGAAGCUAAUGGUCUACAAGUUUCAGAGGAGCAUAUUAGGGACCUUUAGAAAUCUAACAUUUUAUAUAUGAAGAAACUGAAUCCCAGAGAGGAG